rnacentral:rRNA from 1 species
AACUAUAUGAUAUAAUAUAUAGCACUUUCUGCUCAAUGAAUUUUAAAUAGCCGCAGUACAUUGACUGUGCAAAGGUAGCAUAAUCAGUUGACCUAUAAUUGAGGUCUGGCAUGAAUGAACAUACGGGUAAAAGCUGUCUAUAAAGUGUUAAUUUAAAUUUAGUAAUUAAGUGAAAAUACUUACUGUUAUAAAAAAGACGAGAAGACCCUAGAAACUUUUAAGUAAAUUUUGUUGGGGCGACAGAGUUACAUAAAACUAAUUUUACUGAACAUGCAACUUAUUAAAAGAUAAAGUUACUUUAGGGAUAACAGCAUAAUAAAUAAAAGUUUGUGACCUCGAUGUUGGACUAGGUAUGGCUAUUUUUAGAAGAAAUUGCUUUAAGCUCUGUUCGAGCUGCGAAACCUACAU